rnacentral:rRNA from 1 species
AUACGGAGGGUGCAAGCGUUAAUCGGAAUUACUGGGCGUAAAGGGCGCGUAGGCGGUCUAUCAAGUCAGGUGUGAAAUCCCACGGCUCAACCGUGGAGGUGCAUCUGAAACUGAUAGACUUGAGUAUGGGAGAGGAAAGUGGAAUUCCCGGUGUAGAGGUGAAAUUCGUAGAUAUCGGGAGGAACACCAGUGGCGAAGGCGACUUUCUGGACCAAUACUGACGCUGAGGCGCGAAAGCGUGGGGAGCAAACAGGAUUAGAAACCCCUGUAGUCC